AGGGGAAACGAUAGAGAAAGCUUGCUUUUUCUAGGCGUCGACCGGCGCACGGGUGAGUAACGCGUAUCCAACCUGCCCACCACUUGGGGAUAACCUUGCGAAAGUAAGACUAAUACCCAAUGAUAUCUCUAGAAGACAUCUGAAAGAGAUUUAAAGAUUUUAUCGGGUGAUGGAUGGGGAUGCGUCUGAUUAGCUUGUUGGCGGGGUAACGGCCCACCAAGGCUACGAUCAGUAGGGGUUCUGAGAGGAAGGUCCCCCCACAUGGAACUGAGACACGGUCCAACUCUACGGGAGGCAGCAGUGAGGAAUAUUGGUCAAUGGACGAGAGUCUGAACCAGCCAAGUAGCGUGCAGGAUGACGGCCUAUGGGUUGUAAACUGCUUUUAUAAGGGAAUAAAGUGAGCCUCGUGAGGCUUUUUGCAUGUCCUUAUGAAUAAGGACCGGCUAAUUCCGUGCCAGCAGCCGCGGUAAUACGGAAGGUCCGGGCGUUAUCCGGAUUUAUUGGGUUUAAAGGGAGCGUAGGCCGGAGAUUAAGCGUGUUGUGAAAUGUAGACGCUCAACGUCUGCACUGCGGCGCGAACUGGUUUCCUUGAGUACGCACAAAGUGGGCGGAAUUUCGUGUGGAACGGGGAAAAGGCUUAGAUAUCACGAAGAACUCCGAUUGCGAAGGCAGCUCACUGGAGCGCAACUGACGCUGAAGCUCGAAAGUGCGGGUAUCGAACAGGAUUAGAUACCCUGGUAGUCCGCACGGUAAACGAUGGAUGCCCGCUGUUGGUCUAAUA
rnacentral:rRNA from 1 species